rnacentral:ncRNA from 2 species
AUGCGUGGAAUUCCGCCCACGAUCUCGUUAUGCUGAGCCCAAAACCAUACGGGAACUCCGGUGCGAGUCCGGGGCUGUUCCCGCAACUGUGACCAGCGAGCCACUUCUCCUCGUCGCCCGACGAGACACGUCACGGCCUUUUCCGGGGCUGGAAGGCAGAGAACGCGCAACGACCUGGGAGCCAGGACACCGUGUGGCUACCCUCCGGUCAC